rnacentral:lncRNA from 1 species
AUAUCACUAAUCAUCAGGGAAAUGCACAUUAAAACCACAAUGAGAUAACAUCUCACCCAGUUAAAAUGGUUAUUAUCAAAAAGGCAAAAAACAAAUCCUGGCAAAGGUAUGAAGAGAAAAGGAAACACUCAUACACUGCUGGUAGGAACAUACAUUACUACAGCCACUAUAAAAAAAAAACAGUAUAGAGAUUCCUCAAAAAACUGAAAAUAGAACUACCAUAUGAUCCAGCAGAUCACUUGAGCCCAGAAGGUCAAGGCUGCAGUGAGCCAUGAUCUCAAGAUACUAACUAUAACUGUUCUCUAUUUCAACAAAGAAACUAAACGUAGUAAUAAUUAAGAAUAACUCCUUGACCCACAGAUGGUUAAAAUAAUGGAAUGGCAAAAAGAGAAGGCAAGCAGUUUUCAUUUCUGCAACAAUUUUAUGAAAAGAGCAUAUCAGGAAAAAUAGCCACUCAUUUAUUGACGUCAGGGUACUGGACCAUAUCAUCCUUUUAGGUUCCUUCUAAUCCUGUAAUUUUCUGUUGAAAAAUUAUAUAAACCAUUCCAAAAAUAGAAAUGAUUUUUCUGUUACUCACACAUCAUCUUAACUGGUUAUCUUGGAGGAGCUGUGUGCAUGCUGGCAUCCCCUCUAAUUAUUAACCGGAUUUACACGUUG